rnacentral:lncRNA from 1 species
AUCAAGAGCACGAUCCAGGUGUUUCAGUUCAAUGAGUAACACGACGGGUGCCAUAUGUUGAUCAGGAACUGUAUACCUUUAGGAGGACGUGAGAUCUCAGCAUAUCUUGUUUCAAAUGGGUUCGUGUUGCUAUCAUUGUAGUUUCUAGUAUUGUAUUUGUGUAAUUGUAGUUAUAAGUGUGUAUGUGCGUACUAUCGAAUAUGUAGAAUAUAGAUUGUUUUAAAAGGGUGGUUAAAGAUACCAAAAGUAUAUUAAAACUUGUAAGUCGAAAACAAACUGACAAUGCCAUGGGAAACACCCAACAAAAAACAACGCAAAUAAACCAACCGUACAUAAAACAAAGCAUAGAAAACUAAAGACUACGCAACACCAACCAAACCAAACACCGUGGGUAAUUUCAGGUGCUCUGGAAAGGUCAGCAUAUCCUUCUCCACAUAUGCUGCACCCGUAGUGUAACUCAUGAAAAUUACUAAAUACUAAUUUCCUGCAUGUCGUAUUCGUUUUUGAUGCGUUUUGUUAUUUGAUUUUGCCAUGUGAUUAUGGACUUUCCGAAUUGAUUUUCCUCUAAGUUCAGUAUUUUUGUGAUUUUACUUUUUUUGACAGGGUCAAAUUGAUUGGUUUUAUACCGUAAGGGGUUAUAUGAUAUGCAUGGCCGAUCAUUUAUUAAUUUGAUGUCUUAGGGUUAGAAAAGAGACUAUUUCCCCCAUUUUGUGAUCGUUUAUCAUCAAAUAUAAUUCAUCAGUGUACAUUUGUAGUUUAAUAUGACAUAACAUGAGGGUGUCACUAGUGGAACAGGAACAGUGGACACAUGAUGAACAUAUGAGUUAACCCCAAUGUAUUGUGGGGAUUGGUUAUGCAAUAUUGAGAUAUCUGUAUAGUGUUCUUUGUCCUGUACACUGGUUCUUGAUCGAUAUUGUCCGUGAGUAUGUUUCAAAUUAGCUAAUACCUGGAAUAUAGUGCCGGGAACCAUGAUAUUUGUCCUGGUGAUUGUCUUUUCGUUGUUUUGUUUCGCUUUGGUGUUGUCUCAUUCGAAUUAUUGUUUUUAAUUGUCUCCUUGGAAUCUUCUUCGUUUGAAUCAAAUAAAGAAUUUUCCUAUGGUAAUUUGAAAAGCUAGUUGUUGAAUGAGUUUCAUAUAAGUUCAAGUGGUGUGUAACAAAAAAGACGUAGAUUUUUGCAGAUUUUUUUAAAUAUCUGAUUAAGAACGUAUUCGUCAUGUGAGAAAAAUAUACACACGAUAUAGUAACAUAUAACUUUCAAAACUUGCAUUAUGAGUGCUAAGCGUGUCUAAAGUACUUUUAAUUCUUAUUAAUUAAGAUAAAUAAGGUUUACUGCUAAUUUCAUGAUUUCACAACAUAACGCAAUUUAAUUUGAAUUUAACAUGAAAUGUUGAGAAGUCUUAAGAAAAUAAAACUGUUCGAGACCACCAAUGUCGAUAUUCAACAAAAGUUUUCUUCAGGUGAAACAAAGAGUUAUAGCAAAGUUACCUGCAAUUUGUAAUUAAGAGAGAAACUGUCAAAAUUUCACUCGAUUGUUCAGUUGAGGCGUUGUUAGAUAUAUCGUUAUAAAGACAUCUAUUUGAUCAGCGGUGAAGUUUUGUGACAACAGUGUCGUGUUUAGGUCACCCAGUAAUACGAGGAAGGUGUGAACAGAAAUUUCUUCUCUUGUCAGGUAAAAAGAAUACAUUAUCAAAUGGUGGAAUCUUUUUAAGAAAAUCUAAUCAGUUAAAAACAUUGCAAAAUAAAUGAACCUUACAAAAUCAUUAACUUCUCUGAAAGAAGUAACUUUCGUUGAUAGUAGGUUUUGAAAUAAGGACGUAAAAAUAAACUUGUAACAAUAGAUUUCGUUUGUCUGAUAUCAUUAUGACCUACCUUUAGUAAAACUUGAAUGAUUUCUCUCUUUAUAAUAUUAGAUUUUAAAUUUUCAUUUCUUUUUUAUUUACGGCUACUCUAACUUAUUAUCAUUCUGUCAUUAACAUAUUUUUGACAAAUCAUACUCCGAAAACAUAUAUUCCAUAGAUUUGGACAUGAACCCUAAACUCAAUAACUACCAAAAAGGUAUUUGAAAAGUUUGCCUCAAACCAUCACUUCCUAAAUUCUAUUGGCAUCAUCAUGAUUUGUUCAAGUGUUUCAUUAUUUUUUAAGUUUGUACACUGAUUGCAGACAUUACUGUAAUACCUACACAUUAUUACAAAUAUUGUCAUUUCCACGGAGUACAUCGACUUAUAAUGAAAUAUUGAAAUGAUUUUAGCAACAUAUUAGAAUCUAGAAGUGAAACGUGGAUUGCCAACCUUUCCAGACAACACAAGCUAUCCCAAGAUAUUCACCAGGGUGGUGUUAAUUCAUUUUACAUUUUUGUUCGCUGUUGUCAGUAAUGGUGUUGUUUAUCCUUUGAUUUGUUCUAAUUGUUAUUGUCAAUCCCUCUUGGUUUUCAUCAACUUUCUUGAUAAAAAAGACAUCUUUAAAAUUGUAUUACUGGUGAUGUAUGCAUGAAUGUAGACACUCACACCUUAUCUUUACACCGUUUUUUUUUCGUCAUAAACUUGCAGGACCCUUUGUAAGCAAUCUCGAAUGAGAGAAAAGCAUUCAUUAUUUAUUCAAUUCAUGAUAAAAAGAACAGAAACACUGCUUAGACAUACAGUGAUAUCUCAUAUAACGGUCAUCAUUUCACAAUAUAUAAUUGUAAAAAAUACUUUUAUAAUUUAUUUAUUUCCUUUAUUCAGAGCGGUGAUACCUUAAACAGGGUUGGUUCUACAAUGUUUUUGUACAUCAAGAACGCUUCAGCUAGUGAAAUUCGUAAACGAUUGACAACGAUUAACUUUAGUCUGUCAUUGUUCUGACAUUCACCUGAUUCUACUCUAACUGGACCUAACAUAAUUAUUAACGACAGUUAUACUAACAAAGCAAAGCAAAGAACUACAAAUUUUCUCACUUCAUUUCUCACCAGAUUUAGUUUAUGUAAUGUUUAU